rnacentral:rRNA from 1 species
CGUUUGGCUAACAACCAUGCUAUGUACAAAAUAUUUGUCAGGUACUUUGUUAUAAUUGAUGGCUUAUGGGCUACAUCAGUAUGGGAUGUAGUUAGUCGUGCUUUUCCACAGAAUGGUCGUUGUAGCAGAAUAAUAACUACGACAGAAGUAAUGGAAGUAGCUCUCGCAUGCUGUUGUUUUAUACCUGAGCAUAUUUUUAAAAUGGAAGCUCUCAGUGAUAAAGACUCAGAGAAAAUAUUUCUCCAAAGAAUUCUCGUCCCAGGAAAUCAAAGUCCCAAGCAGUUUGAUGAUGUUAUACCUCAGAUUGUGAGAAGUUGUGGUGGCCUGCCACUAGCAAUCAUCAUUGUAGCCAGAAUUUUAGCAAGUCAACCUGAGAAACUAGAACAAUGGGGCAGUGCACACAAUUCUUUUGAGUCCAUUUUUGGGGUAAAUCCUACCAUGGAAGGGUUUAUGGGACAAAUAUUGAACGUUUGCUUCAUUAGUCUGCCACGCUAUUUGAAGACAUGUCUGCUAUAUCUUAGUACAUAUCCAGAGGGCUACCUAUUCUUGAAAGAAGAUUUGGUGAAGCAAUGGGUAGCCGAGGGUUUUAUAUGUGCAAACGAAGGUGAAGACAUGGAGGAAGUUGCCAAGAGAUACUUUGAUGAGCUCGUCAGCAUGGGACUAAUUCAAGUUAUGGACAUCAACUGCAAUUAUGAGUUGUUUUGUUAUUCAGUACACCAGCUGGUACUUGAUCUCAUUACAUACAAGUCUAUUGAAGAGAAUUUCAUCACUGUGGUGGAUUAUUCACAAACAACAAUACCAUUUAAUGAUAAAGUUCGUCGAUUGUCACUCCACUUCGGCAGUGCAACAUAUGCAACUACACCAACAAGUAGCAGAUUAUCACAAGUUCGAUCACUCUUCUUUUCUGGCCUGUUUAAUUGCAUGCCUUCAUUUGUGGUGUUUAAGUUUCUCCGAGUUCUAAACCUUCAUGUUUGGGAUGAUAGUGGAACCACGGAGUUGAACCUUACAGAAAUUUGUGAUCUCUUGCAGUUGAGAUAUUUGCAGGUCACAUGUGAUGUCAUUGUAAAGCUACCAGAUAGGAUUGCAGGGAUGAAACACUUGGAAACAUUGGAAAUAAACGCACGAUCAUGUGAUGUUCCACCGGACAUUGUCAGACAUUCAAGCUUGUUGCAUCUCCGUCUUCAAGGUGCAAAUCUACCCAGUGGAAUUGGGGGCAUCAGAUCUCUGCGUACACUCAUGUACUUUGACCUUGGCAAUAGCUCUGAAGACAGCCUAAGGGGCCUUGGUGAGCUGAUAAACCUGCAGGAUCUUCAUCUCACCUAUUCUUCAUCACCCUCUAGUGAACAUUUGAAGAGAAAUCUGAUAGCUCUGGCCGCUUCAGUCGGAAAACUGUGCAACCUCAAAAAUCUCACUCUGGCUACUGGUGGUACUGCUGCAAGGGUUGUUCUUUUUGAUGGUUCGAGUGACAUGUUUUUGCCCAUGUUUCUUGAGAGAUUUGAGUUGUUGCCUCCCAUUUGCAUCCUUUCCAGACUUCCAGAGUGGAUCGGACAACUCCGCAAAAUCUGCAUUGUUAAAGUUGCUGUCAAUGAACUACCAACUACUGAUAUUGCUAUGCUCACGGGAUUACCUUCCCUCACAGUUCUCUGGUUGUCUGUUCAGACUGCUCCUGAGGGAAGGACCGUCUUCAACAAUAAGGCAUUCCCAGUUCUCAAGUAUUUCAAGUUUACUUGUGGUGUACUUUGCAUGUCUUUCAUGGCAGGAGCCAUGCCUGAUCUUCGUAGGCUCAAGCUGGUUUUCAACACCCAUACCGGGGAGGAGUACGACAACAUGCUUGCUGGAAUUGAGCACCUUUCAAAACUCCAGGAUAUUGUUGUACAAAUUGGAGCUACCACCGGAUCUGACUGGAGGGCUGCAGAAUCAGCGAUUAACGAGGCCGUUGACAAGCACCCAGAAUUUCCUGGACGUAUCUUUCAAUGUGUGGAUCCGAUUGCAGAAGAGUUCCGUCCUUUAGAGAAACAUCAUUGGAGCAACGAAAAAAGCACAUUAGAUGAAAAAAUUGGGGUUUUAGAGAAAUCUAAUGAUAUGAACAAACAUGCUGAUAUUGGGUACGGAUCUUCUUUAUCCAAGCAGCAAUUCCUUGCAACCUUGCCUUUAUUCAUUCUUUUCUUUUCCUCCAAUAUUACCAUUAACCAAAAGACCAUUAGCACUAUGACAAAUCUUUUUUCGCCAUUUCCCGGCACCGUGAAAGGUCUCACAUUUAAUGUGGUUUUUAUCAAACCAAAGCUUCUUGUAGUAUAUUGUAAUUUCCUCUUCUCGUCUUGUAGUGUUUUCACCUUUUUUUUGUUCUCUCCAGGUCAUCUCAACUUCCGAAUCUGCCAUCGACUGUUGCUUCGGGUCGCCUGA